rnacentral:tRNA from 1 species
AGGGAUAUAGCUCAGUGGCAUAGCACUUGCCUGGCAAGCAUGAGGUUGUGAGUUCAACUCCUAGCACCA